rnacentral:lncRNA from 10 species
CGCGCGCACCUGCAGACGCUGCACGUCUUAAGUUUCGAGUGAUUUGGGGAAGGAAAGAGGACCGAGAAGAAAAGAAAAGGGCUCGGGGGGGGGGGGGGGUGGGCGGGUGAGGGGCGGAGGAGAGGACGAAGGAAAAAAGCCGGGAGAGGGAGAAGAAAGAAAUCUUCCUUUUGCAAAAGGAGGCAUAAUGUGGCUUAGAGGUUGCCAAAGCAAAAGGUUUUGCUUUAUUUUGUUUUUGCAACCGAGGCGUUCAGGGUGGGGCUGGCGCGAGGGAAGGGUGGAUGGGGAGAAGGUCACUGUCUUAGCACAUGGCGAGAUUUAUUUACUCCUUUGGAUUAUUUCGGUUUCUCGCCGAAUGGCUUUGAUCCUGGAUUCCUAAAAAUACCUUUGAAAGAUUGAAAGACUCGCCCCGCCCCCCCAACCUCCACACCGUCUUACUGCCUAACUCCUCGGAACCCUCGGAGGUUGCGCAUAAACAAUUUUUUCUUCCAGAACGGCCCCCCUCUCCGCCCUGGGGGAGCCGGGAGGAUGUGCAGCCCCAGUCCUCCUGCUCGGCGGAGCCUCGCGCGCGCAGAGCCUAGCGCGAUUCGCGCCCUCAUUACUACUACAAAGCGCGGGCCAGACCAAUCCCCUUUCUAAUGCACCAUUUUCGACUGAGAACAUCAAGAGGCCAGAAACUUCCAAGUCAGCUUGCAGACGCAGACGCCUCCUGGGGUCCUGGCUUUAAGAACCAGAUGCCAACACUCCCGGACAGUUUAUGGCAUCCGGAUCCCUCAAGGGUGCUCAUCUGCAGUUGAGAGUCUAAUAAAUGGCAUUAACAAAGCGUUUCAGCGACUACCACGGCUUCACAGUGGCUCCUCCCCUGCCCUGCCACCAUUCAGGCUGUAAUUCCUUCCAGGAUUCCCGCACCAUCCUGUGUGCCCAGAGCUCUCUAGAGCACCAGGAUUCUGUGUGAAGAAUACAGAGACAGACGUUCCAUUUCAAAGAAAAAAGAGCAACACGAAGGCCCUCUUUAAGGAGAGAGUAAACAUUCACUUUAGGUAAAAAAUAGUCUUUUACACGCCUGUGCACGGCACACCUCUUUUGCUGUUCACCUUGAGCCCAAGAGUUUGGAAAGGCUGCCCCCAUUUCAGAGAGGAAGAAACGCAGGCACACGUGAAUGACAGACUCCUCUGUGGUGGCCUAGACUCCAGCCAACACUUCCUAGGACAGCCUGCCAUUGUGCAAAGUCACCAUGUAACAAAUGCAGACAUCUCUGAGAUCACCAUGCAGUGAGGAAGUCUAAGCUGGUGGCAUGAAGAGGCCACAUGGAAAGGGCUAAAAAAGGGGCCAGCCUCAGUCAUCCCAGCUGAGCACCUGGCUGGGAAUAAAAGAGGACUCCGUGGAUGUCCAGCCCAGUAAGAUGACCUCAGCCCCAGCCACCAACUGACCAAGCACACAAGACAUCGUGAGGCUGCCUGCUGGAGCCUGGCCAGUGGGACUGUAGAGUAACUCAUUGUCGUGCAGGAACUCCUGGGAUGGUGUUGCCCAGUGACACAAUCCCAGUGUGGCCAUUUCUGAUCCCGAGAAAGCAGUCAGGAGUGGGUGGAUGCAGUUACAGUUCAUCAAGUCCUGCUAGUUCAAGUCAUGAGUCCUGAAUUCUCCAGGAGGAGCCACUAAAGAAAUGCAGAAGCAGGCAAUCCUUGCAAUAAGGCCAGCAAACUGCCAGUGUGAAGGAUGCCCAGGUAACCUGCCCAUGCCAGAACGGCCAGGAGAUGGUGGAACCAGAAUCUAAGCCCACGCCCAUCUGACCUCAAAGUCUGUGCUCCUGAGGUUCGCACCGAGUUGCCUCCUAAGACUUGCUGAAACUGGAUCACGUCCAUUUACCCAUCUCUGAGAGAAAUGCAAGCUUUAAAAAAGGAAAUAUUUACUAUGGAUAUUUUACAAUAGUUCCAAAACAUGAAAGUUUUAAAUAAGAUAUUCUUAACCAUCCUCACCACAUCUUCAGGUUCCCUUACAGCCACUGUGUUUUGACGAUUGCCCAUUAGAAAAAAAGACUAUGCUUUCUGUAGGUUUUAAAGGAAUGGUGGUGAAAUAAGGAGCAUUCCCUGAGCAGAUCUUGCCUGCGGGCACACCUCUGAGCAUUGGACCAGGCGAGAAGAGCCCAUGUGUUGGCUGCUUUGGGAUCCCAGCACUGCCAAUGGCAGGUGGGCUGUGGCCCAGGGAGAGAACCUAGCCUUUUGCAUUCUCUUGCCCCAUUUGAAAAUGGAGACGAUAGUGGCGCCCCGCUCAGUGUUAUUUUGAGGAUUUGAAUGUAUCUCAGAUGUAGUACCUGGAAAAAUAUAAGUGCUCAGUAAAUACGGUUGCCAGAUAAAAUGCAGGAAACCUAUUUAAAUUUAAGUUUUGGCUGGACAAUGAAUAGAAUAAUUUUUCUUAGUAUGAGUAUGUCCUUAUAUUUCAUCUGCUAAAUUUAGCAACCUCCUCAGUAAACGAUCACUACAAUUGCAGAAACGCCUUAUGACAGAUAUAGUAAAUCUGUAAAGAAAUAGGAACUUGCAUUUAUUUUUACUAAGCUCUGACUGGUUAAGAUAACUGGGCAAGAGAAGAUAUCUUCGACUAAACUUGCAGCACAUAGAGUAUAGAGAUUCAAAUUUGAAGUCCUAUAGGACUAGAAUGGCCAGAGGUGAACUGUAGCGAGCUUAUCUAAAGAGGACCAAUUUCAAAAGUUCCUCAGAGACUUAAAUGGGCCCACAGACCCCUCCUGUGUCUUUGCAUAAGCCAGCUCGUUAUAUCAGUUAUAAGUUGAUUUCCAGAGAAAUGUACCCUGGAGAUCCCUCUCCCACUUGAAAUAGGACUGGCCAAUCCAGAUGUCCCCCAGGUGAUGUUGGCUCAAAUGGAGCUCCAUAUAUUGGAGAAUCUAUUCAAGAAAACAAGCAAAAGUAUUUGUGACUGAGUUAGCUAAUGCCAGCUGGUAUCUUGAACAAACCCAGAUCUCUAACAUGCUAGUUUAUUUCGUAGUGUAAAAUGUGUGUUACUGAUGGGCAGACAGCUCUCAUUCAAGCAGUGACAGAUGUAAGCUCUUCCCAUUUUUGUGGCCCCAUUGUAUUCGGCGUGUGGCUUCCAAGUUGCCUGGGAUCAUCUCCACCCAGACUAAGGAAGAGGAAAGAGCUUGGACAACUGCACUUGGCUGGUUUUUAUGGAUCAGGCAAGGAAUUGGCUCCAACACAUUAGCUCACAUUCCAUUGGUUAGAACUGGGUUUCUCAACUAUUAGUACAGGGUGAGUGUAGGGUUUUGGCACCAUGGGCAUUUGAGCUGGCCAAAGGCUAAUCAGAGUUAGAACAAAGCCACAAAGCCUGUGAAUGGUGUUUAUUGUUGUGAGGAGCUGUCUUGUGCAUUGUGGAAUGUUCAGCAGGAUGCUCUCUGGCCUCAGAGACUCACUAGAUUCCCAUAGAACUCUCCUCUCUCCUCUAGUUGUGACAACCACAGUUGCCUCCUCUCCAGACAUUGCUAGAUGUCCCCGGGAGGCAAAAUUGUCCUGGUUGAGAACCACUGUGUUAGAACUCGGUCACAUGGCCAUACCUAACUGCAAGGGAGGGGGCUGGAAGAUCUAGACGAGUAGUAUGCCAGGAAGAAAAUAGAACUGAUUUAGAGGCUGCUGGCCAGUCACUUUCAGUGACCUUCAGCAUACUUAUUCCUCUGCAGCUGUCAGGACACUCAUGCCUGUUUCUGAGAUGUUUCCUGUGUGAGGGGACAUAGUGACUAUUGGAGGGGUGACAUGUUGGACUUGGGUAGGGUGAAGAGGAUUGGAAACCACCAUCAUGUUUGGCAGCAUUGAAUGUUUAUGACUAUUUGAAUAGUUGUGACAAGGGUACAGUGAAGGAGGAAGUAACCAUUUUUGAAUACCCUUUUACAAUUUGCAAAGCACUUUUAAAGGUAAGAGUGAGUUCCUAGACCAUAUUAGGGUGAGAAUGGACAUUGUUGGCUGCCAUAUCAUUGGGCAGGGGCUUUGAGAUUUUUGUCUUCAGAAGGCAGAUUAGAUUUGGAGUAGAAGGAGAAAUGUAAAGACCUGGUAUCUGAGUGUGUUUGCAGAGGGGAAUUGUCGUUUGGAAGCACAAGAAAGGGAAUGGCCCGUUGGCACAUAUGGUACAUUGUGUUUUCAUAUAAUUAUACCUGAAUGAAAGCAAGAGGAAACGUGUAGGAAGCUGUUUACAUAGUCCUUUUAAUAAUGUUUACAUGAGUUAAUGAACAUGCAAACGUAUCUGAUGAAAACAUGUCAGUAGUGAAACAGCCUUGUGAAGAAUCAGAUCUUACCUCAGGCUGGAAAAAAGGACUGGUUUUCCAAGCUCACAAAUUGCAGCCAGUGUGAAUAGUAGCACAAAUGACUGAGCUUUAAGACAUCCAUCCAUCCAUCUAUCCAUCCCCUCAUCCAUCCAUCCCCUCAUCCAUCCACCCAUCCAUCCAUCCCUUCAUCCAUCACUCCAUCCAGCCAUCCGUCCCUUCAUCAAUCCAUCCAUCCCUUCAUCCAUCCAUCCAUCCUUCCUUCCAUUCAUCCCUUCAUCCAUCCGUCCAUCCAUCCAUCCAUCCACUCAUUCAUCCCUUCAUCCAUCCAUCCAUCCAUCCUUCCUUCCUUCCAUUCAUCCCUUCAUCCAUCCGUCCAUCCAUCCAUCCACCCAUUCAUCCAUCCAUUCCUUCAUCAACUCAUCCCUUCAUCCAUCGUCUACCAUUCAUUCACCCCUUCAUCCAUCCAUUCAUUUAUCCAUCCGUCCAUUUACUUCCAUCCAUCCCUUUAUCCAUCCAUUCACCCAUUCAUCCCUUUAUCCAUAUGUCCAUUCCUCCAUCCAUCCAUCCAUCCAUUUACUCUUCAUCCCUUCAUCCAUUUUUCCAUCCAUUCAUCCAUUCAUCUUUUCAUCCAUCCAUCCAUUGAUCUAUCCAUCCAUCCAUUGCUCCAUCCAACCAUCCAUCCAUCCCUUCGUCCCUUCAUCCAUCCAUCCAUUCAUCCCAUCAUCCAUUGAUCACUUCAUCCAUCCAUCCUUCCAUCCUUCCAUCCAUUCUUCCAUUCAUCCAUCCAUGUGUUCAGCAAGUAUUUACUGAAUGCCUAUUAUGUGCCAAGCACUCUCCUCAGAACUUAGGAAAUACCAGGAAACAAAAUCAACAACAAUCCCUCACCACCUGGAUAUUACAUUUUGGUGGGAAGAGACAAAGAAAUAAAAUUGGUGAGUGAAUCACAUAGGUUAUUAGAAGGUGAUAAAGGUGUAGGUGAUAAAGGAGAAGUGCCAGGAGCAAGGAUUGGGUACAGUUGUGAAUAAGGUGGCCCCAAUAGGUUGCACUGAGAAGGUGACAUUUGCACAGAGACUUGAAGAAAGGAAGGAGAGAACAUGACUGUACCUGGGUAACAGCAUUUGUGGAAGAGGGAACAGCCAGUGUAAAAGUUCCAAGGCAUGAGUGCCUGGUACAUACAUGGAACAUCGAGGCCAGGGUGGCAGAAACGCGGUGAGUCCAGGAAGGGAAUAGGAACUAAGUGUAGGAAGGUGUACAGUGGGGUGGUGUGGGGGUGGAAUUGUGGCAGCCAGAUGGUGUUGGCCUAAGGCCUCUUGGCCCUUGUUAGGACUUGGUUUACCAUGGCGCAACACAUCCAUGAGAUUGGCAAAAAUUAAAAAGUCUGACAACAGAAAAUCUGGUAAUCUGGUGAGGAUGUGGAGCAGUGGGAAUUCUCCAAUACUGCCAGGGAGCAUGGGCAUCAAUCCCACCACACUGGAAUGCAAAGGGGCAUUCUGAGUAGAACUGAAGAUGUGCCCAUCCUUGACCCCACAGUUCCAGCCAUGGGCAUGCGCAUGAAUGUGCACACGUGUUGACUGCGGCAUUUGUUUGUCAUUAUGAAAACAUCUAAGUUUCCAUCUAUGGGAGAGGGGAUAAUGUGGGAGUGCCCAACAGUGGAGUUCUAGAGAGCAGUAAAAAUAAAUGGACUAGAGCUGCACACGUCAAAAUGGAUGAAGAUAAAAGACAUAAGGAUGGAAGAAGACCACCUGGCCACAGAAGUAUAUGUCCAAUAUGAUGCUGGUGUAUCCAGAGUGUUCAAACAAACAACACAACACUACUCAUUGUUUCCAACGUGAGUAUGAAAGUAUGGAGCAGUGCGGAGGGCCAGGAGUGCUGAAUCCACAUGGUUACUUCUCCAGGCGGGGGCCGAGGACCAGGGCUGGAGGUUUACUCCAGGAGCUUCAGUGGUGCAUGCUGAAUGUGCUGUUUCUUGGGCUGGGGGACAGAGAUGUGCAUGCUGUUAUACACUCUAUAUUGAAAUGAUUGUAUAACAAUAUACUAAUUUAUCAUGUAAUAAAUUUGACCAGAAAGAAACAACUGUUCUGUGGCUGCUUCCAUGACUGGAUUUCACGUUGUAGGUUUCUAAGCAGAGAGUCCAAGGAAAACCAAAGGAGCGGCGGAAGGAUAAGCCUCCCGGGUGUUCUGGGAGUGUCCCUUUGCUUGGG